rnacentral:rRNA from 1 species
UGGGGAAUAUUGCACAAUGGGCGCAAGCCUGAUGCAGCCAUGCCGCGUGUAUGAAGAAGGCCUUCGGGUUGUAAAGUACUUUCAGCGGGGAGGAAGGGAGUAAAGUUAAUACCUUUACUCAUUGACGUUACCCGCAGAAGAAGCACCGGCUAACUCCGUGCCAGCAGCCGCGGUAAUACGGAGGGUGCAAGCGUUAAUCGGAAUUACUGGGCGUAAAGCGCACGCAGGCGGUUGAUUGAGUCAGAUGUGAAAUCCCCGGGCUUAACCCGGGAAUUGCAUCUGAUACUGGUCAGCUAGAGUCUUGUAGAGGGGGGUAGAAUUCCAUGUGUAGCGGUGAAAUGCGUAGAGAUGUGGAGGAAUACCGGUGGCGAAGGCGGCACCCUGGACAAAGACUGACGCUCAGGUGCGAAAGCGUGGGGAGCAAACAGG